GAAAAAGUUAGAAAACCUGAAGAGUCUAGAUCUUUUCAAUUGCGAGGUAACCAACUUGAACGAUUAUAGAGAAAACGUAUUCAAGCUCCUCCCGCAACUCACAUACCUCGAUGGCUACGAUCGGGACGACAAAGAAGCACCGGACUCUGAUGCAGAGGGCUACGUGGAGGGCUUAGACGAUGAGGAGGAAGAUGAAGAUGUGAAAGAUCGGGAUGACAAAGAAGCACCGGACUCUGAUGCAGAGGGCUACGUGGAGGGCUUAGACGACGAGGAGGAGGAUGAAGAUGAAGAGGAGUAUGAUGAUGAUGCUCAGGUAGUAGAAGAUGAAGAAGAUGAGGAGGAAGAGGAGGAAGGUGAAGAGGAGGAUGUGAGCGGAGAAGAGGAGGUAAGGAAGGCUACAACGAUGGUGAGGUAGAUGACGAUGAAGAUGAAGAAGAGCCCGAUGAAGAACGGGGACAGAAGAGAAAACGAGAACCUGAAGACGAAGGGGAUGAAGACGACUAAACUGAAAAACCUAUUUUGAAAAUUUCCUAUUGUGAUUUGACUGUUUUUACCCUGUAUUUCCCCUCCCCACACCCCAACCUUUUUUUCUUUUUUUUUCUUUUUUUUUUUUUUUUUCUGAUUGUAAUGUUGCUGUGGGAACGAGAGGGAGAAGCAGACUGGGUGGGCAAGGGAAUAAAAUACUAUUUUUACUGCCACUCCUCCUCCUAUUCAUUUUAAAUUUUUUCUUUUUGUCCCUCUCUUAGUACCUGUAACUGCAAUAGUAAGUAUAAACCAAGUGGUAAUUUGUUUCUUAUUAUUGGAGUGGAUAGUUUGACAUCUUUAAAAAAAAAAAAAAAAAGGACAAAAAAGUUUAAGAUCAGUGGAUGAUACCCCAGAUACACAUAUUCUGUUCUGAGACAGCUGAAUAGCGUUGGUUGUUGGGAUUUUUCCACCGCUGCCAGUCACUAAAUACAUGGUAAGCAUUUUUUUGGGGGAUGCUGCAAAUUUAGGCGAAGCAUCCCUCCACAGCAACAGGGGUGAGAAUGGCAUAUUGAUAAAGUGAUUUCUUU